CACGGAGGGGGCAACCCCUCAGUGGCGGACGGGUGAGUAACGCGUAGGUAUCUAUCCAUGGGUGGGGGAUAACAGCGGGAAACUGCUGCUAAUACCGCAUGACACCUGAGGGUCAAAGGCGCAAGUCGCCUGUGGAGGAGCCUUCGUCCGAUUAGCUAGUUGGUGGGGUAAAGGCCUACCAAGGCGACAAUCAAUAGCUGAUUUGAGAGGAUGAUCAGCCACACUGGGACUGAGAUACGGCCCAGACUCC
rnacentral:rRNA from 1 species